CACCUCACUAUGUAGCUCUGUCUGACUUGGAACUCACAAUGCUCCUGCCUCAGCCUGUCAAGGUACAUCUACCUUCUGCAUAAUAUUUUAAUGAAAAAUAUUCUUACAAAUUUCUAUUGAAGUGUCACCUCCAACAUAAGUGACCACAGUUGAGUUGCUUUGGAACUUCAAGUACUAUGCUGAAUAGACACAGAGAGGGUGUUUGUUUAUAUGAUGGGUUGCCCACAUUUUUGUAUAUUGAACCAUCCCU